CCCUGCACUACUGAUUGGUGACUGUAAUAGGCAGGCCGCACCAAGAAUAGCGACAUCAUGCAGCGGAAUAUGGCUGUGAAUAAAGCUCUUGGGAAUGGAACACAACUGCUGCCCCUGCAGAUCCAGAAAUGCAUGAUUGGAAGAGGAACUAGGACAAAACGUUCUGUGGAUUAUGAACAAGAA